ACGUGGGAAAGAGAAGGAACGAGGGGGAGAGAGACAGGGUGCAUCUCCAGUGCUGUGAAACGCAUGCAGCUUGGCCCCACUUGUGCUUUCACAAGAUCUCCAACCUCUUCUGCCGAAAGAGUGCUGGUGCCUCAACAAACUACAGCUCUCCCCGCAGCAUGGACCCCGGGGUGCUGUUUCGCCGCCAGCAGGGCCGCCCCUGACGCUGCGUGACGUGGAUUAAGACCACGUUAAGAGAUCUCAGCUGCUGAGGGAAGGAAUGGCUGCGAAGGCGGAUUAAGACCUGCGUGGGACCUUUGACGCAGCAAGCAAGCCACGAGGAAUGGCCCUCCCCGCCUCCAAACAUGGUAACUGAGUGCAAUAUGAAGUCAGCUUGCAACAAUUGAAGCCCCCAGUGGCACAGUGGAUUAAAGUGCUGAGCUGCUGAACUUGCGGAUGAAAAGGUUGGCAGUCCAAAUCCGGGAAACAAGUUCUUGUUGUUACAGCAACCAACCUUUGCCCUCAAGUGCCUAAGAGCAACUUACAAGUCCUACAACUCUGAGAACUUACAGUCCCUCUGUCCUCGAUAGAGGAAAUAUUAAGAAAGAUUGCCCUCC